GUACUAGUAUUCGCGGGAAAUCCAACAUGGCCGACGAUGUGAGGUGACUCCACACAUUGUACAUCGUGAUCUCUGUCAUAAAGGGUGGCCAAAUAGGAAACAAGCGCCCCCUCCCAUGGAGAGACUAUUGUUUGAAAGAAUGUGGCUCUGGUGACGGCAAGGCUACCGAGGCAAGGAGACAGAGAGAGGGAGGGAGAGGGUAGCUGGUAUCGGCUCUACACACGCGAUACACCGCCCUGUUGUUUUGUGGUCGUCCAAAGUGUUGUUUGUCAUUCGGGUUCCAAGGGGAUGGAGUCACGUGAUCGCGAACAGGACGAAAGAAAAGCUGUACGUCGGUGCACCCAGGAAACUGGCUUGAUAGCACUCAAGCCUCCUCUAGCGGCUUCAAAGAGAAGGACAGACACGCAACCAUGCCAUGACCGACUUGAAUUUUUAGUUUAGCGAAAUUUGUCAUGACUGAAGCUACAAAUAUUUGUAUGGGUGCCAAGUAUGCUACUUUUUUUACUCAUAGCAUAACGUUACAUAGCAUUUUGAUGAACGAAGAAAUAUGCAGAUAGUUGUAGGGUGUGUGUGUGUGUGUGUUUGUUUGUGCCUUUUCAACCCCCACACAGAAACACACACACACACACACACGCACUCACUCACUACUAGUACUUUCAAGAAAGUAGGUUUUACCUAUGGCUUCGUUUCAUACACUGCGACAUCUUGUCAAUCCAUGCACGUUUUUUUAAUCAAAUGGAUUCCUCACGCCACACAGCGGAUGACACUGGUACUGCAUCUGAGUUUGCAGUUG